rnacentral:misc_RNA from 1 species
GAAAUGCGAUAAGUAAUGUGAAUUGCAGAGUUCAGUGAAUCAUCGAAUCUUUGAACGCACAUUGCGCCCAUUAGUAUUCUAAUGGGCAUGCCUGUUCGAGCGUCAUUUCAACCCUCAAGCCUUAGUUGCUUGGUGUUGGGAGCUUAUCCUGCCGCAAGGCGGGACAACUCCUUAAAUUUAUUGGCGGAGUCGCGGUGACCCCAAGCGCAGUAAUUCCUUUUCUCGCUUUAGGUGUUAACGCUGGCUUCUAGCCAUUAAACCCCCUAAUUUUCUAAUGGUUGACCUCGGAUCAGGUAGGACUACCCGCUGAACUUAAGC